GCCUGGCAGCAUGGAUGUCUGGCCAGGUUUUGACUCGUCUGGGCUGCAAGAGUCGUCUCGUGGACUCUGGCUACUGAGCAUGCUCUGCUCUUCAUCAACAGCAGGGAGCGAAGCAUGGAGGGUUUGGGGCUGGGCAGCUGCUGGCCUCUCCCCGCCCCACCCCACCCCCCUGCCUGAAAUGCAGAAACAAAACUUGCUGCCCUCUAAGGAGAGGCUCUGGCUCAUGAGAUCUGAAUCACCUUCCAAGCAGCUGAAGGAACAGUCUGGAAUUGAGCCGCCAGUACAAGAAAGGAAGAGCCAGACCUAAAGCUAAGCGAAGGGAACCGCCAGGGUUGCUGCAGAGGCUGAUUAGAGGGGACUCGAAGAAAACUCCUGGCAAGGACCCUGGGUGAAGGCACAGUAUUAGGAGCAGGUUCGAUUGGGUGCAUUUUUCUCGUAUUUUAUUUGUUCCUUUACACGCAUAUGGUAGCUGUUUCUUUGUGCUAAAUUCUCCAGAAUUACUGUGUUGAAUCGAACUGUUCUAGAGUAAAAUUUCUCUUUUUGAAUUUAA